rnacentral:rRNA from 1 species
UCGAGAAUCUUCGGCAAUGGGCGCAAGCCUGACCGAGCGACGCCGCGUGGAGGACGAAGGCCUUCGGGUUGUAAACUCCUGUCGAGGGGGAGGAAGCCGCAAGGUUGACCGAUCCCUGGAGGAAGCACGGGCUAAGUUCGUGCCAGCAGCCGCGGUAAGACGAACCGUGCGAACGUUAUUCGGAAUCACUGGGCUUAAAGCGCGUGUAGGCGGGCCGGCACGUCGGUCGCUGAAAUCCCCCGGCUCAACCGGGGAAGGGGCGCCGAUACGACCGGCCUGGAGGGGGGUAGGGGGCGCUGGAACUCACGGUGGAGCGGUGAAAUGCGUUGAGAUCGUGAGGAACGCCCGCGGCGAAAGCGAGCGCCUGGACCCUUUCUGACGCUGAGACGCGAAAGCCAGGGGAGCGAACGGGAUUAGAUACCCCCGUAGUCC